UAGUUAACAAAUUCACAGUCAAGCAAAUAGCAUGCUGGAUGCCGACAGUCUCUAUGAAUAGCACAGCUGACAUAGGCAAACAGGUUCUCUAGUGUCUGAAAUAGUCAUUUAUAGAACUGAUGUCAAGUCUCCUGACCAUACCUGAGACGCAGGAGGACAAAAAAGGUGCCAGGCCCCAUGACUCUCAAAGAACCUAUGAUGACUUGAAGGGGAUUCACCAACCACUUGCAGAGGCCCCUGCCUCUCUUCCAGAGUCCCAGUUUACAUAGCUGCUUACAGCUACACCAUGUAUGUACAAUUUAGAAGUACUUUCUUAAGCAGACAUCAAGCAAACACGAAUGUUAACAACUACUGUCACUAUUCCGUGUACCAGACCCCAGACUGAAUCUACCCUCUAACGGCAGGCUUCAGCAGCUUCCCAGCAGCUGCCCUGAGCUCAACCCAGAUGCUAGUUGUUAGUAUCAAGAACCUGCCUGCAGCAGAUAUGUGGGCGGGUCCACAGACCUGUCACCAAGGCAACGGCCACCA